rnacentral:rRNA from 1 species
GACGAACGCUGGCGGCGUGCUUAACACAUGCAAGUCGAGCGGUAAGGCCCUUUCGGGGGUACACGAGCGGCGAACGGGUGAGUAACACGUGGGUGACCUGCCCUCAGCUCUGGGAUAAGCCUGGGAAACCGGGUCUAAUACCGGAUAUGACUCCAUGACGCAUGUUGUGGGGUGGAAAGCCUUGUGCGGCUGAGGAUGGGCCCGCGGCCUAUCAGCUUGUUAGUGGGGUGAUGGCCUACCAAGGCGACGACGGGUAGCCGGCCUGAGAGGGCGACCGGCCACACUGGGACUGAGACACGGCCCAGACUCCUACGGGAGGCAGCAGUGGGGAAUCUUGCGCAAUGGGCGAAAGCCUGACGCAGCGACGCCGCGUGAGGGAUGACGCCU